CUCCACGGACCUUAAACUAAAACAGCAGUACUCGCUCCUCCCCAGGUCCCCAGCUGCAGACCCUCAAACUGCAACAGCAGCACCAUCUCCUCUCUGGGUCUCCAGCUCCAUGGACCUUAAACUAGAACAGCAGCACCAGCUCCUCUCCUGGUCUCCAGCUCCAGGACCCUAAAACUAGAACAGCAGCACCAGCUCCUCCUUGGGACAACAGCUUUAAGACCCUCAAACUACAACAGCAGCCCUGACUCCUGCCCAGGUUUACAAACCUCAAACUUGAACUUCAGCACUGGCUGAAGUCUCCAGCCCCAUGACCCUCAAACUAGAACAGCAGCACCAUCUCCUCUCUGGGUCUCCAGCUCCAUGGACCUUAAACUAAAACAGCAGCACCAGCUCCUCCCGAGGUCCCCAUCUACAGACCCUCAAACUACAGCAGCACCAGCUCCACCCAAAGUCUCCAGCUCCCCACCUCAAACUAGAACUCCAGCACCCGCUCCUCCCCGAGUCUCAAUAUCCGCCACUCUCAAACAGCAGCACCGGCUCCUCCCCUGGUCUUCAGCUUCACGACCCUAACUAUAACAGCACCACCCGCUCUUCCGGGGUCAACAGCUCCAAGACUCUAAAACUAGAACAGCAGACCAGCUUCUACCCAGGUCACCAGCUCCGAGACUCUCAAACUAGAACAGCAGCCUUAACUUCUCGCCAAAUCUCCAACUCCACGACCCUUAAACUUGAACUGCAGCACUUGCUCCUCCCCAGGUCCCCAGCUACAGACCCUCAAACUAAACAGGAGCACUGACUUCUGCCCACAUAUCCAGCUCCACGAACCUCAAAGUUAAACUUCAGUACCAACUCCUUCCCGCGUCUCCAGCUCCACGACCCUCAAACUACAAUAGCAACACUGGCUCCCCAAUCCCAGGUCUCCAUCUCCACGACCAUCAAACUUGAGUUGCAACACUGGCUCCACCCAAAUUCUCCAGCUCCAGGAUGCUAACUGUAAUAGCAGCACCAGCUCCUCUGCAGGUCACCAGCUCCAAGACUCUCAAACUAGUACAGCAGCACUGACGCCUGCCCAGGUUUCCAGCUCCAUGAACCUCAAACUUGAACUGCAGCACCACCUCCUCCCUGGUUCUCCAGCUUCACGACCCUCAAACUAGAACAGCAGCACCAGCUCCAACCAAAGUCUCCAUCUCCACGCCUCCAACUUGAACUCCAGCACCAGCUCCUUCCUGGGUCUCAUGAUCCAUGACCCUGAAAAUAAAACAGCAGCACCAGCUCCUCUCUAGGUCUCCAGCUCCACGAACCUCAAAUUUAAAAAGCAGCCCUGGCUCUAACCCAGGUCUCCAGCUCCACCAUCGUCAAACUUGAACGGCAGCACUAGCUCCUCCCAAAGUCUCCAGCCCCACGACCCUAAAACAUGAAGAGCAGCAUUGGCUCCUCCCCAGGUCUUCAGCUUCACAACCCUAACUCUUACAGCAACACCCGCUCCUCCCCAGGUUGCCAGCUCCAAGACCCUAAAACUAGAACAGCAGACCGGCUCCUACUCAGGACACCAGCUCCAAGACUGUUAAACUAGAACAGCAGCACUGAUUUCUCACCAGGUCUCCAGCUCCACGACCCUCACACUGGAACUACAGCAACAGCUCCGCCCAGGUCUCCAGCUCCAGGGACCUUAAACUAAAAUAGCAGCACCAGCUCCUCUGCAGGUCCCCAGCUACAGACCCUCAAACUAGAAUAGCAGCACCAUCUCCUCUCCAGUUCUCCAGCUCCACGACCUUGAAACUAGAAAAGAAACACUGACUCCCCCCCACCACCAAUCUCCAUCUCCAGGAACAUCAAACUUGAACUACAACAGCGGCUCAACCCAAAGUCUCCAGCUCCCCGACACUAACUACAACAGCAGCACCAGCUCCUCCCUGGCUCACCAGCUCCAAGAUCCUCAAACCAGAACAGCAGCACUGACUCCUGCCCAGGUCACCAGCUCCAAGACCCUCAAACCAGAACAGCAGCACUGACUCCUGCCCAGGUCACCAGCUCCAAGACUCUCAAACUAGAAUAGCCACACUGACUCCUGUCCAGGUCACCAGCUCCAAGACUUUCAAACUAGAAUAGCCACACUGACUCCUGUCCAGGUUUCCAGCUCCAUGAAACUCAAACUUGAAUUGCAACACUGGCUCCUCUCCAGGUCUCCAGCCACUCAUCCCUCAAACUGUUGCUCCUCCCUGUGUCUCCAGCUUCAUGACCCUCAAACUUGAACUGGGGCACCCGUUCCUCCCCGGGUCUCCAGCUCCACGACACGUGAACUGCAGCACUUGAUCCUUCCUGAGUCUCCAGCUCCAUGACCCUUAUACUUGAACAGCAGCACCAAUUCCUGCCCAGGUCUCCAGCCUCAUGACCUUCAAAUUUAAAAAGCAGAACUGGCUCCAACCCAGGUCUCCAGCUCCACCAUCAUCAAACUUGAAUGGCAGCACUAGCUCGCCACAAAGUCUCCAGCUCCCAUGACCCUCAAAUGUGAACAGCAGCACUGGCUCCUCCCCAGGUGUUCAGUUUCACGACCCUAACUAUUACAGCAACACCUGCUCCUCCCCAGGUCACCAACUCCAAGACCCUAAAACUAGAACAGCAGACCGGCUCCUACCCAGGUCACCAGCUCCAAGACUCUCAAACUAGAACAGCAGCACUGACUUCUUGCCAGGUCUCCAGCUCCAUGACCCUCAAGCUUGAACCGCAGCAACAGCUCCACCCAGGUCUCCAGCUCCACAAACCUUAAACAACAGCACCGGCUCCUCCAGAGGUCCCCAGCUACAGACCCUCAAACUAGAACAGGAGCACUGACUCCUGCCCAGAUAUCCAGCUCCACGAACCUCAAACUUGAACUGCAGUACCAGCUCCUUCCCGGGUCUUUAGCUCCGUGACCCUGAAAAUAAAACAGCAGCACUGGCUUUUCCCCAGAUCCCCAGCUCCACGACCCUCAAAUUUAAAAAGCAGCACCAGCUCCUCCCUGGGUCAGCACCUCCAUGACCCUCAAACCUGAACUGCAGCACUGGCUCCUCCCCGGGUCACCAGAUCCCAGACCCUCAAACUAGAACAGCAGCACUGACUCCUCCCCAUAUCUCCAGCUCCAUGACCAUCAAACUUGAAGACUAGCACCAUUUCCUUUCUGGGUCUCCAGCUCCAUGACCCUCAGACUUGAACAGCAGCACCAGCUCCUUUCUGGGUCUCCAGCUCUCCUAUCUUCAGACUUGAAUGGCAACACCAGCUUCUCCCCACGUCUCCAGCUCCACGACCCUCAGACUUCGACAGCAAUCCGGCUCUUCCCCUGGUCUCCAGCUCCAUGACCCUCAAACUAGAACAGCAGCACCGGUUCCUUUCUGGGUCUCCAGCUCCACGAUAUUCAGACUUGAAUGGCAGCACCAACUUUUCCCUGGGUCUUCAGCUCCAUGACCUUCAGACUUGAACGGCAGCACUGGCUCCUCCCCUCUCCAGCUCCAUGACCUUCAGACUUGAACGGCAGCGCCGGCUCCUCCCUGGGUCUCGAACCUGCCCAGCCUGCAGAUUUUGGACUUGCUAGCCUUCAGGAUCACAUUAGCCAAUUCCUUAAACUCAACCUCUUUCUCUGUAUGUAGGAUAUGGACACCUCCUGCUGGCUCUUUUUCCGGAGAGCCCAGUGAACACACCGUGCAUCAGGCUCCAUCAUUCACCAGAGCGUCUUUCCAACAGACUUUGCUGUGAUAUUUCUUAAAUAAAGGUCACUCCAAAGACCCUCACCUCUGGAUUGUAACCAACUCAGUGGCAGACUUAAUCCAUUUCUAUCUGCUGACAUUUCUCACAUGGAAUAGGCUGUUUGACAGAUUGAAGCUGUCUCCCCCCACUCCCCAGGCCAGUGCACACUUAUCUCCCUUGAAUGUUCAUUUUGUGCUCAUUUUAGAGACUGAGGCACAAAGACAGGCAAAUACAAGGUGAAGUCAGUGACAAAUAAACAAUGCUAUUUAGGCAUUGAG
rnacentral:lncRNA from 1 species